GGGUGUAUGCAGAGGCUCGUUUUCUGUGGGCUGGCUUCGGUGUUGUUUGAGUUCCUGCUGAGGGCACCUCCGACUGUCUUGCUGUUGUGGCCUCUUUAUGCGCGGAAGGCACUGU
rnacentral:lncRNA from 1 species